UGGGGGAUAUUGCACAAUGGGCGAAAGCCUGAUGCAGCGACGCCGCGUGGGGGAUGAAGGCCUUCGGGUUGUAAACUUCUUUUGCUCUGAACAAGGCAUGCCUUUGGGGUGUGUUGAGUGUAGGGGUUGAUUAGCGCCGGCUAACUACGUGCCAGCAGCUGCGGUAAUACGUAGGGCGCGAGCGUUGUCCGGAAUUAUUGGGCGUAAAGGGCUUGUAGGUGGCUGGUUGCGUCUGUCGUGAAAGCUCAUGGCUUAACUGUGGGUUUGCGGUGGGUACGGGCUGGCUUGAGUGCAGUAGGGGAGGCUGGAAUUCCUGGUGUAGCGGUGGAAUGCGCAGAUAUCAGGAGGAAUACCGGUGGCGAAGGCGGGUCUCUGGGCUGUUACUGACGCUGAGGAGCGAAAGCGUGGGGAGCGAACAGG
rnacentral:rRNA from 1 species